CUCAGGAAAACCAUAGAUGGUUAAAAUAUUGACCUUAGUUUUUUAUGUACAUUUGGGCAUUUUACCAUAUAGAAAUCAAAUACAAAUACAGACAAUGCUCCUAGAGAUGCCAGAGCAGUGACUGCUGUGAAGAGGGAAAAACAGUUGUCCUGAUGACCUGAUGGUGCUGUCACUCAACACAUCUCAGAAACUGACAGCAAGAUAUCAAAGAGAGAAAGGUGUUCCAGGAAUCCCUCUACCAGACAUACUGUGUUAGACAAGACUUCACUGUAAGACCAACAGUUCCUGCUUCAAAAAAUCCAACUGAGGAUCCAGAUAAUGACCCUCAACAUGAGAAAGCUAAGAAUCAAAAUCAAGAAUGACCAAAUGAAGGAACAGAGAAAUCACACCACAUUAAUCAUUGCUUUGAUCGUCUCGCUCUGUGUGGUGAGCAUCAUAUGUCAUAAACUAUAUCCUUCACUCCAUGCAAGAGAUGUUGGGGAGAGCAGAUUAUCAAAAGAAGAGUACUGAAGUAUUGAAACACCUGUCAACAACUUCUUUAUGACUUUCAAAAGAAAUAAAUGCUUGACAUUGUAAAUAGGCA
rnacentral:lncRNA from 1 species